AUAUCCUCUAAAAAUCUUUGAGAUUUCAAAAGUUUAUCUUGUUCUUCAACUAGAGAUUUUUUAGAUUUUUCUUUUCCCUAGUUAAAGCUUCUAUUUGUUUCAAAAAAAUUUUCUUUUCUUUGGCUAUAUUUUUCAUAUUUUUCAAAAGAUCUUCUUGUUCAUUCAAAAUUUUAUUUUUUUCUUCAGUCAAAGAAAGAUUAGAUUUUUUAAGCUCUUUAUUUUUCAGUCUUAACUUUUUGAAUUCAUGCAUUAAAUCAUUAAAGACCUCAAACAGUCUCAUCAAAAGUA
rnacentral:lncRNA from 1 species